CCUACGGGUGGCAGCAGUGAGGAAUAUUGGUCAAUGGCCGGAAGGCUGAACCAGCCAUGCCGCGUGAAGGUCAGUGCCCUAUGGGCGUUAAACUUCUUUUGUGCGGGAGCAAUAAUGGUCACGUGUGGCCAGACGAGAGUACCGUACGAAUAAGCAUCGGCUAACUCCGUGCCAGCAGCCGCGGUAAUACGGGGGAUGCAAGCGUUAUCCGGAUUUAUUGGGUUUAAAGGGUGCGUAGGCUGUGAGGUAAGUCAGCGGUGAAAUGCCCCCGCGCAACGGGGUGAAGUGCCAUUGAUACUGCCUGGCUGGAAUGCGGAUGCCGUGGGAGGAAUGUGUGGUGUAGCGGUGAAAUGCAUAGAUAUAACACAGAACACCGAUUGCGAAGGCAUCUCACGAAUCCGCGAUUGACGCUGAUGCACGAAAGCGUGGGUAUCAAACAGGAUUAGAUACCCUAGUAGUC
rnacentral:rRNA from 1 species